GUAGCGGAGCGUGUGGUUUAAUUCGAUGCUACACGAAGGACCUUACCCGGGUUUGACAUACAGGUGUAGGGAACUGAAAAGGGACCGACCCUUCGGGGAGCCUGAACAGGUGCUGCAUGGCUGUCGUCAGCUCGUGUCGUGAGAUGUCCGGUUAAGUCCGGUAACGAGCGCAACCCUUGCCGUAUGUUACAAGUGUCAUACGGGACUGCCGGUAUCAAGCCGGAGGAAGGUGGGGAUGACGUCAAGUCAGCAUGGCCUUUAUAUCCGGGGCUACACACACGCUACAAUGGUCAGUACAACAGGUUGCAAAGCCGCGAGGUGGAGCCAAUCCAUAAAGCUGGCCUCAGUUCGGAUUGCAGGCUGCAAUUCGCCUGCAUGAAGUCGGAAUCGCUAGUAAUCGCAGGUCAGCAUACUCGCGGUCGAAUACGUUCCCGGGCCCUU
rnacentral:rRNA from 1 species